GGUGUUGUGGCUCAGUGGUAGAGUGCUUGUCUCUGAUGUGUGAGGCCCUGAGUUUGAUCCUCAGCACCA
rnacentral:tRNA from 1 species